rnacentral:rRNA from 1 species
UACGGAGGAUGCAAGCGUUAUCCGGAAUUAUUGGGCGUAAAGCGUCCGCAGGUGGCACUUCAAGUCUGUCGUCAAAGACCGGGGCUUAACCCUGGAAAGGCGAUGGAAACUGAAAGGCUAGAGAGAGGUAGGGGUAGAGGGAAUUCCCAGUGUAGCGGUGAAAUGCGUAGAGAUUGGGGAGAACAUCGGUGGCGAAAGCGCUCUACUGGACCUCAUCUGACACUCAGGGACGAAAGCUAGGGGAGCGAAUGGG